ensembl:lncRNA
UCCCCGGGCCCAACCUUCCAGUUUUCAUCUGAUGCUCCUAACAACUCCUUGAGACAGACAGAGACCAACAAGAAGCCAAAAGCUCUGCAAAAAAAGGGACCCCUCAUCUUCAGCCUCUUGCCAUCCCCCUUGCAUGAAUGAAUCUUGUCCAAGAACUGGGAGAAACUUCAGAGGGGAAGCUCGCAUGUUGUUGGAGUUCAUCUAAAAACAACCAAACAAUCAAAAAUACUGCAAGCGGGGAUUCCCCAUCCAUGGGAAAAAGAAUAUUAAAGUUCACUUCAACUGUGGGCCAAAGACAGGAUUUAAGCACCUGGUUAUUCUUUUAUUCACUCCCUUAUGAAUCAUGAUGUGAUAGCCAACCUGUCUCCAUUUUGUGCCUCAUCACCAUUCCCCCUCCCCCCUUGGGAGUCCUCUCUGUUGAUGCUUGACAGACCACUGCACCCCAUUUGGUAGAG